rnacentral:rRNA from 1 species
GAGGAGUUCGAUCCUGAAGCUCCAGGAUGAGCACUGGCGGGCGUGCCUAGCACGCGCCAGAAGUCGAACGAGAGCUAUGAGGACGGAGGAGCCUGCUGGUGGAAGACGAUGAACUGUGAGUGGCGGACGGAGUGAGUAACGCUGUGGGCAGCCUGCUUAUACCGAUGUGAAGUUGGAGCGACUGGUGAAACCGCAUAAAGCACCUGAGUAAGGCGUCUUACAGUGUGACGCAAAGCUCGGUGGUAUGGGAUGGGCCCGCGUCUGAUUAACCAGUUGGUGAGGUGCGGCUCACCAAAGCGACGAUCAUAUAGCCGGCCUGAGGAGGGCGGACAGCCACAUUGGGACUGAGACACGGCCCAGACUCCUGGGAGCGCAGCAGUGGGGAUAUUGCUGUGGAGGAAACUCUGAUGCAGCGACGCCGCGUGGUGAAGAAGUAUUUCGGUAUGUAAAAGCUCUAUCAGCAGGGAAGAAGGCUCGCAAGAGAUGACGGUACCUGAGGUAAGAGCUCCGGCUAAAUGCGUGCUGACCAGCGGUGAUGGCGCAUGUGAGCAAAGCGUUAUCAGGUUUACUGGGUGUAAAGGGAGCGCAGACGGAUAUGCAAGUCUGAGUGAGCCCACGGCUCAGCCGUGGGCUUGCUGCGACGAAUCUGAGAUGGGUACUGGAAGUAGCGGAAUUCCUGGUGUAGCGGUGAAAAUGCAUGUAGAUAUCGGGAGAGGAACAUCGGCGGCGAAGGCGGCUUGGGCAGCGACUGACGUUGGGGGCUCGAAGGGCGUGGGGAGCAAACAGGAUUAGAUACCUGGUAGUCCACGCGGUGACGAUGAAUGCUAGGUGUUGGGAGACAAAGUUUUCAGUGCCGAGAGCAAACGUGAUAAGUAAUGUUAUUCCACCUGGGGAGUACGUUCGCAGGAGAAUGAAACUCAAAGGAAUUGACGGGGACCCCGCACAAGCGGUGGAGCAUGCGUGGUUUAAUUCAAAACAGCACGCGAAGCUGUACAGACCUUAGAUCGGACGGAUUGAGAGGUAGACUUUAAAGCCCUUCAGGGCGUCCCGAGGACGAGGUGGUGCGCAUGUUUGUCGUCAGCUCGUGUCGUGAGAUGUUGGGUUAAGUCCUGCAAUGCAGCGCAACCCACUGCGUAUAGUGUCCAGCAAGUAGUUGGGAACUUCUGUACAGCGGACUGCCGGGGGAUAACCCGGAGGAAGGUGGGGAUGACGUCAAAUCAUCAUGCGCCCUUAUGGUCCUGGGCUACACGUGCUACAAUGUCGUAACAGAGGGCGAAAGGGUGACCUGGGCGAUCUCAAAAGCUGCUGACCAGUUCGAGCUGCAGGCUGCAACCCACUGCACGAGCUGGAAUCCUAGUAAUCAUGAAUCAGCAUGUCGCGGUGGAUACGUUCGGGUCUUGUACCACCGCCCGUCCACCAUGGGGAGUCGGGAAUGCCCGAAGCCGGUGACCUAACUGCAAAAGAAGGAGCCGUCGAGGCAGGGCCGGAUGACUGGGGUGAGAGAUCGUGGCUAAGGUAGCCGUGGGAGAACCUGCAGCUGGAUCACCUCCUU